rnacentral:piRNA from 1 species
UGGGUCACAGGCCUUUUUUUG